GAUUAACGCUAGCGGCAGGCAUAAUACAUGCAAGUUGAACGGCAGCACAGGUAGCAAUACUGGGUGGCGAGUGGCGCACGGGUGCGUAACACGUAUGCAACCUACCCUAUACAGGCGAAUAACCUUUAGAAAUGAGGGCUAAUACGCCGUAGUAUUACAGAUGGGCAUCUAUUUGUAAUUAAAGAUUUAUCGGUAUAGGAUGGGCAUGCGUCCCAUUAGUUAGUUGGUAAGGUAACGGCUUACCAAGACGAUGAUGGGUAGGGGAUCUGAGAGGACUUACCCCCACACUGGAACUGAGACACGGACCAGACUCCUACGGGAGGCAGCAGUAAGGAAUAUUGGGCAAUGGCCGCGAGGCUGACCCAGCCAUGCCGCGUGCAGGAAGACGGCCUUAUGGGUUGUAAACUGCUUUUAUACGGGAAUAAUAGAGUGUACGCGUACAUUUAUGCAAGUAUCGUAUGAAUAAGCAUCGGCUAACUCCGUG
rnacentral:rRNA from 1 species